CUUGCUCUUUGGGUGGCGAGUGGCGGACGGGUGAGUAAUGUCUGGGGAUCUGCCCGRUAGAGGGGGAUAACCACUGGAAACGGUGGCUAAUACCGCAUAACGUCGCAAGACCAAAGAGGGGGACCUUCGGGCCUCUCACUAUCGGAUGAACCCAGAUGGGAUUAGCUAGUAGGUGGGGUAACGGCUCACCUAGGCGACGAUCCCUAGCUGGUCUGAGAGGAUGACCAGCCACACUGGAACUGAGACACGGUCCAGACUCCUACGGGAGGCAGCAGUGGGGAAUAUUGCACAAUGGGCGCAAGCCUGAUGCASCCAUGCCGCGUGUAUGAAGAAGGCCUUCGGGUUGUAAAGUACUUUCAGCGGGGAGGAAGGGAUGAAGCUUAAUACGCUUCGUCAUUGACGUUACCCGCAGAAGAAGCACCGGCUAACUCCGUGCCAGCAGCCGCGGUAAUACGGAGGGUGCAAGCGUUAAUCGGAAUUACUGGGCGUAAAGCGCACGCAGGCGGUCUGUCAAGUCRGAUGUGAAAUCCCCGGGCUUAACCUGGGAACUGCAUUCGAA
rnacentral:rRNA from 1 species